AUGCAGAGUUUAAUUUUAGGAUAUGUUAAAAAGACGUCGCAGGAUUUGCUAAAGCACUGGCUAUCCAUUUUGAUGAUUGUCACAUCUUCAAAAUCCACUAUAAAUAUUACACACUUGAAGAAGGCUUACUGUGUCUACUGGGAAGGAGGACCUGGUCUCAGGGUAAUGCUGCAUACAGUUGGUCUAGAUGUGUGUAAGUACUCAAGAUCAAUCUUUCCAAACUUAAAAAAUGUACUUUUAUCAGCAGCAUCUUACAACUGUAAGUGUAUAUUUUGUUUAUAUUUGCUAUGCUGUUAUUUUUACUUGGAUUUUUAUUUCCUUUCAUGUAACUAG
rnacentral:rRNA from 1 species